CAUGAAGUCUUCUGUCUGUACAGUGCUGUUCCUCGUCGCUGUCACCUGCUUCCAGAUGUGUCAUGGGGGUGAUUCGAUGGGUGACGCGGAAUGCUCUGGGGCCACUGACCCCAACAAUGAUACUCUUUUUAGCAACCCUGACCCUGCUGGGUGCGGCCGCUACUUUGUGUGCGAUAAUGCUUGGACUCUAGUGGACAGGGGCAACUGCUGCGGCGUCACGUGGGAUCAGCACAAUGAGAUGUGCACAGUUAUCGCCUGCGCAUAGGAAUGAUUGCCCUUGAUGUGCUCCAGGAUCUGCUUACCCCUUUACAACACUUUGAAAGUAUUGAAAUACGGAUUAGCUUUUCCUUCGCGGGUUCAACAUUUGCUUAUUAUGGACUAUAUAUUUUUACUUGUGUUCGAUCUAUAUAUCGUGCUGCCCUGCGCAGAGCGACACCUAUCGGAGGAUCGAAGAAUGAGAGGUAGUAUUAUAGUAACAAAGGAUAUACAAU